GGAUUUGGGGAUUCAUCUGUUGGCACCAAACAUGGCACAGGGCCCAAGAGAUGUGCUUGGAGACAAGGUCGGAUUCUGUGCAAACGCUAGAAACCCUGGCUUCUAAAGGUAACUUCUAGCCUGGAAGUCCACAUAACAUCAUUUUAUGCAGUUGGAGUGACAUAGUCUCAGAUUUGGACACAGGAUUCAGCACUACAACACCGUGCAGCAUAAAUCAGAAGGCAGCUGCAGACACAUACGUACUGGUGAACACAUUAUUUGGCUGCCAUCGGGUCUGAGCUGCUCAGAGGACAGCUUUGAAGCACUGAUUGGUGGAAGAAGCCACACCUGGUGGGACUGGCCCAUACAAACUACAGGUCAAUCUGAUUCAUCUAGGGAUAUGAGAAGUGCUAUUUGAGAUGCCUUUGAUUUUUCUUCCUGAAACAUUGACACAAUGAUAUGUACUCAACACCUACUUUGUGAGAGCCUGGAAUUUGUGGGUCCAUGAGGCGCAGAGUGUCUCUGAUCACAGCCACUUUCACUUCUUCAUCAACGAGGCUGGGAACAUUUUCAAACACCCCUGGAGAAAGCUUGAACGGGUCCUACAAUUGGGGCCAGCCACUCAAGAGCAUCUCGUUCUCUCUGCCUAGAACAACUCUUCAUCUGGAUAACUUUUGCUCAUCCUUGAGAUCGCUGUCUCUAAUGAGAUUCUGAUUCAGACGACAAGGACUUUUGAUUCCCCAGAGGAUUCUCAUUAUGGCUACAGAAGUGAUAAUGCAGAAAAUUUCUAACAUAAUUAAUAGAACCCCAAAGUCUCAAAAAAUAAUGUGGAGAAUAAAGAGAAAAAAGAAAAAGAUAGGGUUGUAGACUCCCCUUCUCUGUGGAUUCAAGGAAGAAAGAUGAGGGAAAUCCAUUUACUAGUCUAUAUAGAAUAUGCAUUAGUUAAAUGAUAAUUAUUAAACUGUAGCCCCAUCCUUAUUAAUG